rnacentral:lncRNA from 10 species
GCAUCCUAGAGAGAUCAGAUGAUGGCACCCUAGAGAAAUCAGAUGAUGGCACCUUAGAGAGAGCAGAUGAUGGAACCCUAGAGAGAGCAGAUGAUGGAACCCUAGAGAGAUCAGAUGAUGGAACCCUAGAGAGAUCAGAUGAUGGAACCCUAGAGAGAUCAGAUGAUGGCAUCCUAGAGAGAUCAGAUGAUGGCACCCUAGAGAGAGCAGAUGAUGGCACCCUAGAGAGAGCAGAUGAUGGCACCCUAGAGAGAUCAGAUGACGUCACCCUAGAGAGAUCAGAUGAUGGCACCCUAGAGAGAUCACAUGGUGGCCUUAUUAGGAAGCUCAGGUCAGACCUUAAUUGGGGUCUGUUGGGCGCCAAGUUCUGAUGGCAGCAGGGAGAGGUGCACAAUCCGCCUCCAGAUAAAUGUCAGCUGGAGGCUCUGGGCUCGGCUACUAGCUCUGCCACCAACGAGCAGCAAGGCCAUCAGCCUGUUGCUUCUGCCCUCUGGGCCUCAGUCUCCCCAUCUGUAAAACUGCAGAUUAAUAGCUCACUGCACGGAGUUAUUUUGGGGCUAAAAGGGGAUUGUUUGUGAAAGUGUCUACCACAUGCCGUUUCAUUAAAAGUCAGAAAUUGAUUUGUUUUUACACACACACACACACACACAGUCUUGUACUCACACGUCUCUAUUUUUGAAAUGGCAUGCACAGAGUGCUCCCAAUUUUAUGAGAAUCAGAAUGGGGUGGGCCCCUCACCAGGCUGUGGCAUGCAGGCCUCGCUCAGCCGUACACACUCAGAGCCACCAUGUCCCCAUCUGUACAACAGGGGCUUGCACCCGAUGAUGCCCUGCUUUUCUCUUAACUUGCGCAUUCUGCAACUCCAAGAAACACAUCUGCCUCUCACUCAAUAGUCAUUAUUAGCAGGUUACAAGAAGCUUGUGAGAGUCACCCAAACCAGGGAAGAGUAUGUGAGGCAACUGCCCCAGGACAGGGAGAUUUUACAAGACUGUGGAUGGGAGGUCAAGAAAGGAGGAAGAGAAGCCAGUGGCCUUUAAGCACAAGCCAGGACAGCAGAGAGCUGGCUGCAGGGGACCUGGAAUCGGGGGUCUCCGUGGGAAACAAAGCAGGGAGCUGUGAGCCCUGGGAUGCAAUGAGAAAGGAAGAUAUUUUUACUAUGAUUCCUGCACCUGCCCUGUGGUUAUAGAGUGGGCCUCACUCCCUCUGAAGCGGGUUCCACACUCCUGUGUCUUGGCACCCACACUGUUCAUGGUGAGUGGGACGUUCUUUCUACUCCCUCUUCCGGGAGAGCUCCUACUCAUUCUUCAAGGCCUAACUUAGACAUCAUUUUCUAUAGGGGAUGGAAAAUAAAUAGUCCACACUUGUUUUGUGGACACUGAAAUUUCAAUUUUAUGUACUUUUCACGUGUCACAAAAUGUUAUUCUUCCUUUGAAUUUUUUCAGCCAUGUAAAUACAUAGAAACAAUUCUUAAUUCAUGGACUGUACCAAAACAGGUAGCAGAUCAGAUUGGCCACAGCCAGAGUUUGCCAGCACCCCCUCUGCCCUCUUGCUGUUCAAAGUGGGGUCCAUGCCCAGUAGCCUCAGCCUCAUCUGAGAGCUUGUUGGAAAUGCAGAUUCCAGGGACCCACCCAGACCUACAGACUCAAAGACUACAUUUUAACAAGGUCUCUGGAUGGCUCAAGUGCAUUUUAAACUUUAAAAUCUACGCUCACACCACUGCACUCUAGCCUGGGUGACAGAGUAAGACCCUGUCUCAAAAAAAAAAAAAAAAUCCUGCCUGGGUGUCACCCCCAGAAAUUCUAAUUUAAUAGGUAUGGGGUGCAGCCUAAACAGCUAAACAGUGGGACUUUUUAAAGCUCCCCAUGUGGUUCUAAUGCACAGCAGAGUUCCAGAACUCGUGCCCCAGAGAGAUUACCCAGGGAAAGAAGACUGCUCCUCCUCCUAGAUCCCAGAGUCCCCAGGUCACUCCUGCAUAACACAACAUGUCACUGUAGAGAAACUAUUUGUUACACUCUGAGCUCCUCUGAGAUCAGAAUCCUGUCCAAUCCUAAUUUAUGAAGGUCUCAGACAAAACACCUACCGCCUCUGGGACUGGAUCUCCUCCUCUUCCAAUGCAUGGCUUUGUAGCCGUAAAUCUGCUCUUCACUGACCGCCUCCCUCCCCUGGUGCCCCAGGUGAGUGCAGAGAAGGCGGCCUCCAGAGCCAGGGUCACCCUGGCCUCUCCCGCCCUCCCUGAGCUUCCCCCGCUCAGGCCAGCACAGGCUCUGGGGAAAAGGGGAACAAAAAGAGGCAACCCACACAUCCAGCAAACCCACUGAGCCCAGGGGGUGCACAGACUGUACCUUCCACAACCCUCCUCCCCUCUUUCCCAGCUGGAGGGCGUGCAGCCCCUCUCCCCCUUGCAGUGGGUCCCCGCUGCCCCAGCCCCUGCCUCCUGACUCCUCUGCCUUUUGGCCCUGACCCAGCAUUUUCCUGGAGAAACGUGUGAGGGAGGGGUGCACGGCACUGACUGAAAGCCACACAAGAGUCUUGCCUGGGAGGGCCUCUGUUCGGGAGAGGGCUGGGGGACACAGGACAGCCCCUUUCAGGCCAGGGCUGACACUCCUGCCCCACCUGGCCUUGCACCCCCUGGCCAGGCCCCUCUCUACCUGGGGCCCUCUCAUCACUUUUAGCUCUACAGCUAAGCCCUGCACUCCACAGACCCUAACUCUCUCCCAAGACCUCCCACUCCAAGCCCCCUACAACAUGGCAGCCUCCCACCCUCCAGAGUCCCCACCACAGAGCAUCCACAGCCUAAGGCUUCCGAAUCCUCGAAGGUCGGAUCUAGAUGGGGCCUCGAGAAGUCUUAUUAUACGUAUAGGGAAACCUACGCCCAGAGGAGGGGAAAAAUUGGCCCGAGAUGGUGGCAGACUGGGGACCACCACCUCCCUCUCCCCCAUCUAGUCCCACACACUUGCCCCACUGCAGGGCUCCUCCCACUGCACCAGCUGCCUUAGCAAGAGAAGCAAGGACACAGCUCUGGGUUUCAGGAAAGAUGGAAACCCAGAAGAAGGGGCCUGCUGGGGCCAACUCUUAGCCUUUGACUAAGGACAGUGUGACAAUGCCCUGCCCCCAACCUCCCCCCACCUACAAGCCCAGCCCAGAUCAGUGGAGGUCAGAGUGGGCAACCGUGCAACCCACCUCCCUCCCAGCACAGAGUAAUAGAAACAGCUACUAUUUAUUGAGCACUUACUAAGUGCCAGGUGCCAUGCUAAAAGCCACGAUUCUCUGCCGUACUUAUUAAAUAUUAUAUUCCCAUUUACCAGAUGAUCAGAAUGAGGGUCAGAGAGAUGAAUCAGCAGGCCUACGGUCACAAAGUUGGUAAGGGAGUGGUGGAGGAGAGGCCUUAGAGAAAAAUGUUUAAGCUCAAAGGCAUCUCAGGGUUCCUCUUCACUGCCUGGGCUUCGAACCCAGAUCUGUUUGAUCUGUUCCCUCGGGGCUCUCAGAGGAGAUUCAGUGAGACACCAGGACACGGGUAGGGGCAUCCACACUCGGGUUUAUCCAUUCAGCAGCUAUCUCAAAGGUAUCAGGGCUAGAAAGAUGGGCUGGAGGACAGGCACCCCCACACCAAGGAAGAUCAGCCCCUCUCCUGGUCCAAAGACUGUCUCAUCAUGAGCCCAAGCAGAUGCCUCUGUCCCAAGACCACCUGGUGUCAGAGAGAACACAUGGGCUUUGGGAUCAUCAGACCUGGGAUUGUUCCCUUCUCUGUGUGACCUUGGGCCUCAGUUUCCUCAUCUGUAAAAUGGAGAUACCUAGCUAGUAGGGUCAAUGGAAGGAAUAGAAAGAGGUUGUGAAAAGGGCCCGGUGCACGUGAUAACUAAAUGCUGCAGGCUGCUGGGCGUGCACUGUGAACUCUCCCCCAUCCUGGGCCUGCAGGGGGAGCAAGCUUUACCCCAGAAGGAAGCAGCAGGGAAGCACGGCCUGCAGAGCCUCCAGGAAUGUGCCUUUGCAGCCACAGCUGUCCUUCUGUCCUCACUCACCUGAACCACUACAGCAGCUUCCUAACAGUGUCUCUCUCCUCCGGUUCACCACUAUCAUCAAUACUGCAAAUUACUGAUAUCAUCUAUGGCCUCGAGAUCGUGUUAAAAAUAUUCUGGAGGGAAGAAUGAAUAGGCAGAGCAGAGGAUUUUUAGGGCAGUGAAACGUACCAUAAUGGCGGAUAUGUGUCGUUAUGCAAUGGUCAAAAUCCAUAGAAUGUUCACCACCAGGAGCGAAUGUUAAUGCAAACUCGGUGCUGGGCGAUGAUGACGUGUCCAUGUGGGGUGGUCCACCAUGACAAGUGUCCCACCCUGUGUGAGAUGUUGAUGCGCAGGGGAGAGCUGUGGAGACAGGGGGCAUGUGGGAAUUCUCUGUACUUUCUGUUGAAUUGUGCUCUAAAAUAUAAAGUCUAUUUAAAAAUGUAUUCUGUAGGCUGGGUUUUUUAAAACUUAAGGACAUGUCCGUUAAUGGAUUAUGAAAUCAAUUUACUGGGUCACUGACAGUAUUCUUUUUUCUUUAAUGAGUUAGCAUAAAACAGAAUAUAUUAGAAUACAUCACAUGAAGUAUUAUUUAGUGAAACUUCGUUUUACAAAUUUUACUUCAUUUCCAUUUAGCAUCAGACAAUGACAUGCUACUACAGAGUAGGAAAUCGAGGCUCAGAAAGGUUGAGUAAUAAUAAGAGUUGCCACUUAUUCUCCAUGGGCAUCGG